rnacentral:rRNA from 1 species
UACGUAGGGUGCAAGCGUUAAUCGGAAUUACUGGGCGUAAAGCGUGCGCAGGCGGUUAUGCAAGCCAGAUGUGAAAUCCCCGGGCUCAACCUGGGAACUGCAUUUGUGACUGCAUGGCUAGAGUACGGUAGAGGGGGAUGGAAUUCCGCGUGUAGCAGUGAAAUGCGUAGAUAUGCGGAGGAACACCGAUGGCGAAGGCAAUCCCCUGGGCCUGCACUGACGCUCAUGCACGAAAGCGUGGGGAGCAAACAGG